GGAAUCUUACGCUAUUUUUCUUGGAAAAAAUUCUAUUUUUUCUUCUUCUUAUCUUAGUCUAUUUUAUAAACGUCAAGAUUUUGAUAUUUCAUUUGGACUGUGUGAUGGAGCUGAAAUUAAUUGAUUUUAAGUCAAUGUCCAUGUGUAAAUCAGUUGGUAUGGAGGGGUUCAUGAAGUUUUCUAGCUCAUUUCUUGAUUCAAACCUCAUGUUUGGUGUUAAUGUGGCUCCAAAUUUCUGUUCUCACAGAGGGCUGUUAACAAAGGCUUCUUAUUCAAGCACUUCUUAUGAUGCUUCAAGAUCAGUAAGCAAGAAGAAUUUAUUAGAGGAUACUUUCUCUUAUAAGAUAAAUGGUACAAACCAUACGAGGUUGUAUUUUCGAGAUAAAUGGUUGCUUGAUUCUUCUGAUGAUGAAUAUGGAGGAGUACUCGUCAAUGCAGAUAGGCUACCAUCUGAUCGCGAUAAAUUCACCUUUGUUCUUCGUGCAUCUCUCUCUCAUUGGAAAGUGAAGGGGAAGAAGGGAGUUUGGCUUAAGCUACCACUAGAAAAAUGCGAUCUAGUUCCUGUUGCAGUAAAGGAAGGAUUUCAAUACCAUCAUGCAGAAAGAGGAUAUGUUAUGAUGACAUAUUGGAUUCCGGAGGAACCUUGUCUGCUUCCUUCGAAUGCAUCACAUCAAGUGGGAGUUGGGGGUUUUGUGAUCAACGACAAAGAUGAGGUGCUUGUCGUGCAAGAGAAACAUUUUACGCCGGCUCUUUCAGGCUUAUGGAAAAUACCAACUGGUUUUAUUCAUGAGUCCGAGGAGAUCUUUACAGGAAUUGUGAGAGAAGUGCAGGAGGAAACUGGUAUUGAUACUG
rnacentral:misc_RNA from 1 species